rnacentral:misc_RNA from 1 species
GAUGAAGAACGUAGUGAAAUGCGAUACGUAAUGUGAAUUGCAGAAUUCAGUGAAUCAUCGAGUCUUUGAACGCACAUUGCGCCCCCUGGUAUUCCGGAGGGCAUGCCUGUCCGAGCGUCAUUGCUGCCCUCCAGCCCGGCUGGUGUGUUGGGCCCCGUCCCCCUUCCCGGGGGGACGGGCCCGAAAGGCAGCGGCGGCACCGCGUCCGGUCCUCGAGCGUAUGGGGCUUUGUCACCCGCUCUUGUAGGCCCGGCCGGCGCCAGCCGACCCCCUCAAUCUAUUUUUCAGGUUGACCUCGGAUCAGGUAGGGAUACCCGCUGAACUUAAGCAUAUCAAUAGCGAGGA